AUUGAACGCUGGCGGCAUGCCUUACACAUGCAAGUCGAACGGUAACGGGCCUUCGGGUGCCGACGAGUGGCGAACGGGUGAGUAAUGUAUCGGAACGUAGCUUUCAGUGGGGGAUAACGUAGCGAAAGUUACGCUAAUACCGCAUAUUCUGUGAGCAGGAAAGCAGGGGAUCGACAGAACUUGCGCUGAUUGAGCGGCCGAUAUCAGAUUAGCUAGUUGGUGAGGUAAAGGCUCACCAAGGCGACGAUCUGUAGCGGGUCUGAGAGGAUGAUCCGCCACACUGGAACUGAGACACGGUCCAGACUCCUACGGGAGGCAGCAGUGGGGAAUUUUGGACAAUGGGGCAACCCUGAUCCAGCCAUGCCGCGUGAGUGAAGAAGGCCUUCGGGUUGUAAAGCUCUUUCGGCCGGGAAGAAAUCGUAUCAGCUAAUACCUGGUGCGGAUGACGGUACCGACAUAAGAAGCACCGGCUAACUACGUGCCAGCCGCCGCCGUAAUAC
rnacentral:rRNA from 1 species